rnacentral:sRNA from 1 species
GUGAUCAUACGUUCUCUUCUGUUGGUAAAUGUGUUGGGCCUAGAUUAUUAACAGUUCAUUUAAAAAAAUAAAAUGUAUCCAAUAUGAAUGAAACUAUCCUGUACAACUUAUGCUUAGGCUCUAAGACAAUUAACUGAUUAAAAGUUAGUGAGCUUGGAGCAUUAACACAGUGUUCUAAACCACUAGCUUGUGACUUAGCAGUCACAGAUAUGCUGCAGAUGUACUGUGCAGUAGUAUUCUCAAUGAUAUUCAUAGUUUGAGGGUGCUUAGAUUGUGUCAAAUUGCUUAUAAUAUCAGAGGAACUGUAGAUGUUCAAUGCUGUGGUCUUUGAAUUAGGACUUCUUCUUACCCCUAUGCUUCUGCCCUCAAUCUCACUCAAAGUCAUUGUUUUUCAUUUAUAACAGAGAAAUGACUCAGAUGAUGGUGUCUACACAAUAUACACUGGAGCUACUGACAUUCAAUUGCUGGGACUGAUAACCAGAUAUAAUGGACAAAGUUCUCUUGAUAUUUGGUCUACACCAUGGGCUAAUAUGAUCAAUGGAACAGAUGGUCUGUGGAGUCCUCCAGCUAACCCAAACAAACAAGAAGUUUCCAUGUUUAAUUCUGACAUAUGCAGGUCAGAAAGAUUCUAUUACACAAAGAAAGUCACGAUAUGUCAAAACAUCAAUCUUCGUCGAUUCGAAUAUAAAAAAUCUGACUUCCUGAAUGCCGUUCAUAAUAGAGACAACCUUGGUUUUUGUGUUCCGCAAACUCAUUGCCUGCCAAGUGGUCUGUUGAACUUAACCAACUGUCCGAGGUCAGGUAAUUCAAGUACAAUUCUUGAUUGACUUCUACUUCUAAAUAAAGAGUAGUUACAGACAAUGCAUGUCGUUAUUUAAAAAAUUACUUCUUCAGAGAUUUAAUAAAAUCACUCUGUUUAUCUAAAUCACUCUGUUUAUCUAAA